rnacentral:tRNA from 1 species
GCCUUCAUAGCUCAAUGGCAGAGCAACUGUUUUGUAAACAGUAGACGAUAGUCCGAUUCUAUCUGAAGGCUCCA